rfam:Hordeum vulgare subsp. vulgare, WGS project CAJW01000000 data, contig: morex_contig_44724
ACUGUCUGAUGCAGAAAUCACCUCCAAGAUCCUUGCUGGUCUCGACCUAGAGUACAACCUUGUCGUUUCAGCGCUUGCGGCUCGGGUUGAACCGAUGUCUAUUCAGGGGUUGUACAACCAGCUCUUGAGCUUCGACG